AAGGGCGGGGUUUAGAGGGAGGCGUAGACAAUGAGUCUCCAUUGGUCCACUAGUUCUGGAGUGACGGUUCAUCCUAACCCAAUCAAUGAACAUGAUAUACAGGAUUUUCUUUCUAUUGGCUACUUAACCAGACGGCCUGACUCCACUACCACCCGCCAAAUCUUUCCCCCAUGUACUAAACAGUUAUCAACACCURCGCCGAACUUUGGGCAAAAGGUAAUUAAUAUGUUUACCUAAGUAGUUACAUGUUUUGUCAUUAAAUGUAUUAGAUAGAUAGGCAUCUAAUAUCCGUACAUUAUUGACCCGUGACUGACAAUUUUUGAAGUACGUUAGCUUAGUUGGCUGGCUUUGGUGUCGGACCAGGUAGCCAAGUGGAAUGAAUCGCAAGACUGCAUGUCUGUAACGUUACAGUUAGCCACUGCCAGCCGUAGUGAAAGGUGUGUCUUAGAGAGAGAAACAUGCAUGUGUCUUAUGUCCUCACAGGCGUUAUGGAGAAGUUCCUCAACAGAUUGCAGCAGGCAAUGCAACACCUUCCUCUGGUUUUUGAUUAGUUUGCCAGCAUCAUUGAGAUUAUAACUAUCAGAUCACUAGCAAAUCAAGUAGACUUGCCUCAAAAGGUAGUGCAGAGCUUUCCAACCUAUAUAGUCUAGUCAAUGCUGAAAUGGAAGAAAGAUGUGCCCCAUCAAUUGUUGAGUUGGAUGGUGAAAUGGGACGUCCUAAACUGAUUGUGUCAGAACAGCACCUUCGACAGGUGAUUGAAAUGGAUCUGCCUGUACCUUGCAACUGCUUGGCAUCUCAUCAAAAACUGACUAACGUAGAAUGCAGGAAUAYGGUAUCAUGGUGAGGGGAACAUACAGCCAAAUGAUAGACGAGGAGCUGGACAAUCUGGUGGACACAAUCAAGACAAGUUCACCACAAUUAGGAUGGUGAGUUAACGUCUGAAAGCACUGGGUCAUCGAGUCCAGUGGACCCGAGUGUGGGACUCAGUGCAUCGUGUAGAUGAUGCAGGAAUACAGGAAAGAAUGGCACAGGAAAGAAUGGCACAACUUGGAUGUGUUGUCAGAAGAACAUACUCUGUUCGUCUUUCACUCAUACAUGUGGACACCAACCACAAGUUGAUCAGUGUCAUCAAACCAGAUCUGUGGUCACAAACCGGAAAAGAGCUCGGGAGAUAAUGAGCGAGAAUCUUGAGGUCACCUACAAGGGAGAAGAGCGUGACUUUCUGAAGAAGGAGUCAAUACAAAGGAAACAAGACGAGGAAAAAGGCAAAAGAGAAGUUGAAGACUGCUCAAAGAGGCACUGUUAGCAGAUUCCAAACCAAGGGAUGAAAAGGCUUUCUUUUUUUUUUUACCCUGUGAAAGGAUGAAAAGGAUGCAUGAACAUAAAAUUCAGACUGAUCAACAAAUGUGUCCUACCUCAUUGUGAUCUGUGUUGUAAAUAAAGAGCACCUAUUGAAAUCAA